CCUACAUGGAAAAUAAAACAAUAUCUAUCGCACGAACGAUCCAUUCAGCUUCCCUCCUCCAUUCAAAUUAUCUCACUCUCCUCACUCUCGUCCAUCAGUUCUUCAUUCUCACUCUCCUCCAUCUCCGAAGUGCAGCCAAGAGUUAAGAUGGGUUUAGAGCCCGAAAGCCAAUCUCCCUCCCUCCUCCGUGUCGCGACCCAAGAGCCCAAGAGCCAUCUCGAUCCCACGAAGAUUGGGUUUAUAGGGAGACUGGACUACCAGAAAGGCAUCGACUUGAUCCGGUCGGCAAUUCCAGAAAUAAUGGAGACGAUGUACAAUUUAUAAGUGAAUCUUUGGUGAAAUAAUUUUCAAAUAAUUUGGCUCCACGUUGAAGUCAUGCUCCCUUUACAUUGCUUGUGCUUUCUAUAUGCUUGAGAUUAUGCUUGGUUCUAGGGAUCCGAUGUUUGAAGAUUGGAUGAGAGCAAUUGAUUGCAGUUGUUUUUUAUAUGGAUUUUUUUUGGGUAGCAAUUGCUUGGCUCUGGGUUGGAUUUUGUUUUUUUUAGAGAUUGGGUUGGAUUUAAUGUCCCAAUUUCUCAUAAGAUAACUGCAGGAUAUUUCAGAAUUUCUUUUUCUUGGUUUAUAUGUUCCUUCAAUAAAUGAUGGCACCAACUCAAUGUGGUUUUGGAAUGAUCAGCCGUGACAUACUAUUGAUGCCCUCAAGGUUUGAGCCCUGUGGGCUAAAUCAAUUGUAUGCAAUGAGUUAUGGAACUGUCUGUGGUUCAUGACACUGGGGGACUCAGAGAAGGCAAAGGUGAAGGUACAUGAUGGAGGAUAAUAGAAGGGGCCUCUUCUAUAUUAAUGUUGGACGAAUUCAGUUCAUUUCACUUGAGAAUAAACCAAUGGCAUCUGAUGUGUUUGCCAUUAAAACUCAUGGAUUGGAAGCUUACUUAGGCAAAUAGUCGUGAAGGCAGAGAAAAAGAAUUGGUAAAGAUAGAAGCUGACUUGCAUUGGAAGGGGGAAGUGCUUCAGAAAACAGGGGAAGAAAUUGUGAAGAGAGAGUUGAAAGUCCACAACAAAGAAGUUGAAAUUGGAAGACAACAAGCAUACAUUCAGCGUAAACGCACGCUACUUCGUGUCUAUUGGAUUAUUACCAUACUAAUAAACAUGUACUUCAUACAAUCAAGAUGAAGCCCCACUUAAUGGGAAUUUUGUGCAUUGUAUGUUAGGGACUAUUUGGAAUGUUGUGUAUUACGGAACUAUUUGAAAUGUUGUGUAUUAUGAAAUAAUUUGGUAUGUUAUUGUGUACUAUGAAAAUAUGUCACUGGACAUAGG